GUGCCAGCAGCCGCGGUAAUACGGAGGGUGCAAACGUUGCUCGGAAUCAUUGGGCGUAAAGCGCACGUAGGCGGCCUGUUAAGUCGGAUGUGAAAGCCCCGGGCUCAACUCGGGAAGUGCAUUCGAAACUGGCAGGCUUGAAUAUGGAAGAGGGUCGCGGAAUUCCCGGUGUAGAGGUGAAAUUCGUAGAUAUCGGGAGGAACACCAGUGGCGAAGGCGGCGACCUGGGCCAAUAUUGACGCUGAGGUGCGAAAGCGUGGGGAGCAAACAGGAUUAGAUACCCCCGUAGUCC
rnacentral:rRNA from 1 species